AGGGUCGUGGCGCAAAGGUAGCGCGUCCGCCUCCUACUUUCUGCUCAGUUCGAGAUGUGAAAUGCAGGCAGCGGAAGGCUGCAGGUUCGAGUCCUGCCGUCCCUG
rnacentral:tRNA from 1 species